rnacentral:rRNA from 1 species
UACGGAGGGGGCUAGCGUUGUUCGGAAUUACUGGGCGUAAAGCGCACGUAGGCGGCUUUGUAAGUUAGAGGUGAAAGCCCGGGGCUCAACUCCGGAAUUGCCUUUAAGACUGCAUCGCUAGAAUUGUGGAGAGGUAAGUGGAAUUCCGAGUGUAGAGGUGAAAUUCGUAGAUAUUCGGAAGAACACCGGUGGCGAAGGCGGCCAACUGGACCACAACUGACGCUGAGGCGCGAAAGCGUGGGGAGCAAACAGG